GAUGAACGCUGGCGGCGUGCCUAAUACAUGCAAGUCGAGCGAACAGAUGAGGAGCUUGCUCCUCUGACGUUAGCGGCGGACGGGUGAGUAACACGUGGAUAACCUACCUAUAAGACUGGGAUAACUUCGGGAAACCGGAGCUAAUACCGGAUAAUAUAUUGAACCGCAUGGUUCAAUAGUGAAAGACGGUUUUGCUGUCACUUAUAGAUGGAUCCGCGCCGCAUUAGCUAGUUGGUAAGGUAACGGCUUACCAAGGCAACGAUGCGUAGCCGACCUGAGAGGGUGAUCGGCCACACUGGAACUGAGACGCGGUCCAGACUCCGACGGGAGGCAGCAGUAGGGAAUCUUCCGCAAUGGGCGAAAGCCUGACGGAGCAACGCCGCGUGAGUGAUGAAGGUCUUCGGAUCGUAAAACUCUGUUAUUAGGGAAGAACAAAUGUGUCAGUAACUAUGCACGUCUGGACGGUACCUAAUCAGAAAGCCACGGCUAACUACGU
rnacentral:rRNA from 1 species